GACGAACGCUGGCGGCGUGCUUAAUACAUGCAAGUCGAACGGAAAGGCCCUGCUUUUGUGGGGUGCUCGAGUGGCGAACGGGUGAGUAACACGUGAGUAACCUGCCCUUGACUUUGGGAUAACUUCAGGAAACUGGGGCUAAUACCGGAUAGGAGCUCCUGCUGCAUGGGGGGGGUUGGAAAGUUUCGGCGGUUGGGGAUGGACUCGCGGCUUAUCAGCUUGUUGGUGGGGUAGUGGCUUACCAAGGCUUUGACGGGUAGCCGGCCUGAGAGGGUGACCGGCCACAUUGGGACUGAGAGACGGCGCAGUCUCCUACGGGAGGCAGCGGUGGGGAAUAUUGCACAAUGGGCGGGAGCCUGAUGCAGCGGCGCCGCGUGCGGAAUGACGGCCUUCGGGUUAUGAACCGCUUUCGCCUGUGACGAAGCGUGAGUGACGGUAAUGGGUAAAGAAGCACCGGCUAACUACGUG
rnacentral:rRNA from 1 species